CUCAUGAUGCAUACAAGCUUCUUGCAGUUCCUUCACCUAUUGGUGGAGUUCUUGUAAUUGGUGCGAAUACAAUUCAUUAUCAUAGCCAGUCUGCUUCAUGUCACUUGGGGUUGAACAAUUUUGCUGUUCCCGCAGAUGGAAGUCAAGAGAUGCCUAGGUCUGGAUUUACUACGGAGCUUG